rnacentral:lncRNA from 1 species
AAUUGAAUGCUGGCAGGGAAGCACAGACAGAUACUGUAUUAGCUCUCUGUCACAUCUGAUAAGAAACCACUGGCCAAUGAAUUUAAUUAAAGCUCACUCAGAACUCGUGUGGCUGAUCUACAGGAGAGCAGGAGAUCUACCAAACAGAUACUGUAUGAUGUACAAAACAAACAAGCUUCUAAAGGUAUCAGAGAAUAUCUUCUCUCGUGUCCUUUUGAGAGGUUAUGUCUUGCAAAGGUUGACUAUGAACAAGGGGGAAAAAAAUGAAAAUACUUACUUGCCAACCAUCGCUAAAUAUAUAAGCAUGCAUGAUUUUGAACUGACAAUGUUUAAUUUUGGAACAAAAUUGUUCAAAUGUCACAUGACACUGCAGAAUGCACAGGAAGUGGUUCAUUGUAGUUUACUGUUGCAGCUGUCUGUAGGUGUAGCCAAUAAAAGGAUAGGCGCCCGACCAGGGUUUCACAAGGUACUGUGGAGGUUGCCUAUGGGUGUCACAUUGCCUAUUACCAUGAAAAUAAUCACCCUUUUUCUAUGUGCUCUUGCACAUCAAGUCGCAAGCGAAACUAAUGAUAUUUUUCCUGCGAAGAUCCUGACCCAACAGAAAUCUUUAAGCGAGAAUAGUGACCUCUACGUUAUCUGCAGCACAUUUGGGUUGAAGAAACAGACCGAGGUGUAUGUUUAUUUAUGUAGGAAUGAUGUUGGAAUGAUUAAACAUAUCCAGAAGAAAGAACAUAAUGAUACCACCUUCAUCAUAAACAGAGUCAGUCUUAAUCACAGUGGAAAUUACAGCUGUGUUUACUCAACACGUGGUUAUUCGCCUCCCGAAGUAACCAAGAAAGCAUGCAACCCCAUAGAGAUUCUGGUUAUAGCCAAUUUUCUCCCUGCAGAUAUUUCAGUAGCCGGGCCGUUGGCUGUCAGUGAGGGAGACGAUGUUGAAUUCAGCUGUACUGUGUCUGAAACCCUGCAAACACUGGGUGGAUGUCAAUUGAUCCAUUCUUACCUUAAGAGGAAUGAGCUCAUCCUCCAAGUGCAAACAUUUAAUGUCACACAGAUGGAGGCGACUUUCACCAUCCAAGACGCAGUCACGAGGGACUCGGGUAAUUACAGCUGUGUGGUGCUGCCAUCUAAAUGCAUCCAAAAGCAUGAGAAAACACUCUAUGGAAAUAACGCAGUAUCACUCGAGGUCAAAGAGAGUUUGUUUCUCCGAGUGAUUGUCUCUUGUGGAGUGAUAAGCAUGAUGAUAACACUGGGUCUGUGCCUGUGGUGCAUCAACAAACCAGGCGGCUUAGCUUUGUGUAAUCAACGUGCACCAAGUGAGCAGGCAAAUAUAGACAUGCUGGAGGAACAGCAGGAGCAGACAGAAGAGGGUCUGGAAGCACAAGAUGGAGAUUCUUUCAGCACCGAGGAAGAAGAAGGGUAUCAGAAUGUUGUGAAUGCUGAGGACAGCACUUACUCUGAUGGUUUGGAGGGAGUGUACAGUGUUGCAGAUGAUUCACCUGCAAGAUCAAGUUCAACACAUGUGUAUGCCAGGUCCUCCAAAUAUAAAUGUUAAUUUAUAAUAUGUUAAUCGGAUUUUAUUGUCGGAUACAUGAAUAACUGUAACGCACCCCUGCUUUGUUCUGUCUGUGUCACAUUUCAUUAAGGUAAGGUAAUGUUAAAAUGUAUAGUGAAUGAAGAAGGAACAUUUGAACUCCAUUAUUAGCCUGAUCAGUAGUAUAUGUGGAGGAGGAACUGCUCCUUGUGGUCAAGGGUAAAAGAAUGUCCUCAUACAUUAAAUUUUUACAUGGAUCCUUUCUUUGUUGCAGAAGGUUUCAAUUUAUUUUUGCCUAAUAAAUGAAAUUAGUGUGUUCCUGCCCCUUUGUGCAAUCAGUGCUUUAAAGAAUGUACUACAGUUUGUUUUCAAUAACAAACACUGCAAGUGUUGUUGUAGUGAUUGACUGUACUUUGUAAUAAACAGUAUAGAAAACAAAUCUCUCUAUUUAACAUUUAAUCGCAUUUGUUCAUUGAUGUUAAUACUGUCCAAACAUGUAAAGCAUAUGAUAAUAUAACUAAAACUGAAAUAAAUGGCUGAUUUUGUUAAAUCAGAUAUUUGAAAUAUACUUGGACAUACUGUAUAUGAAAACCAUUUAAGAAGAGCCUGAUCAAUGGUGGAAAAGCACUCUACCUUUACUUCAGUAAAAGUAUCUGUACCACAAUCUAAAAUUCUACUUAGGUAAAGAGUACAGAAGUAGCUAAAUGUAGGCCACUGGAAAAUAUAAAUGGUAAAAGGUUCUGGAGGGGAAAAAAGCCCUCCUGAGUGCUACAUUAUUAUACUUUAAUUUCUAGAUUAAUACUGAUGCAUCAAUGCAAAAACAUUUUCCUUUUGUUGAAUAAAAAAGAUCUGCUAAACAAAUCUGUAUUAUUUGAUUAUUUGUGAAACAUUGGAUAAUUUUACUUCCAUAGUCCUCAAACACUUCUUUAAAUUAUACCAUGUUUAGUAUGUGCCAAGUAAAUGUAGUUCUGAUGACUACAGCUACAGAAUAAAAGCUUAAUUACUUACGUUGUUUUAACUAAAAAUUAAAAAUAGAAAUAUUCAGUCUUGCCAUUAUCAAAUUAUAGACUAAACACUCGUAGAUUUCUUUAAAGAGGUUUAAAUAAAUGUAUUUAUUUAUUUUGAGGCUUUGGGUUUAGGAACACUACAUAGGCAUGUGGGGAUUAGGGUCUGUGUAUGAAGAGGAGAUUUAACUAAACACAGCAUCAAAAGGGUCUUACCCAAUAUCCAUGUUACACAUUGAUAAUGAAUUGCACUUUCCCCCUCUGUCUUUGUUUUCUCUUUUUGUAAUGAUUAGACACUGUCUAAUCAGUAAUCUAUAGUAGCUGCCUGCACCCACUUUUACCCGAGUGUACCCUUAGGAAAGUUUAACCAAAGAGUUCAAUGACCGUAUCCGAUAAGAAAAGCACUCAAUCACUAGCACUGACUGUAAUGACUUAGCAUGUUCUUUAGCUGAUGAGCUACCACUCAAGAGGAGCAUCCAGUAUAUUUGUCACUGCUGCUUUCCUCCCGUCUCUUAUUAGUGCUGCAGCUCCUGUGGGAAAUACAAGGAGGAGCUGAUGUAAAGAAUGAAGUUACUACUUUGUCAUCAAAAAUAGGGAGCAGAUGUGUGCAGUGCCGCACACUGAGAGCCAUGUUAACCUUUUUGUUUUGCUUGCUAUGCAGUUUUUCACUGUAAUUUCCAUUCUGAACAUGUGAAGUCAUCAUGAGAAUUUCCUUUGGAGGAAAACCUAUCCCCAAGAUUGAAAAUGUAAUAAAAUUGUAUCUUAUUAUGAGUGAUUGUAGUAUUGCCAGCCUGCAUUGAAAAACAAACUUGUAAUCACAUAGCAAAGUUCUCUGUUAACUUCUAGUCAGCACUUCUAAAUGCUUGCUGUGCCUGCUAAACUUGAAUCUGGAUUAUGUAUGUCACACUGGUUUUCACCCUGCCCUUCCUUGGAAAGGGGUUGGCCUGUUCUCAUUUUUACAUGGCUUAUCCUUCAUGAAAAAAGAAAGAACAAAUUCUUGUUAUUCAGUGAAUGCUCAGAUAUGCAACCCAACCAUAUUUCCCCUGCUGCACCUCAGGGGGGAUUAGCCAGUGGACAUAUCUGUUUUAUGGUUGAAUUUUUGUUUCAUGGAAAUUUGAAAAAAUUGAUGCUAUUGAAGCAGGCUUUACAUUCAGAAAUAAUUCAGACUUGUGACAGAUAGUGAUUUAAAUUACCUCUAUUUUCAGUUAAUUGAUCCUAAACAUGUUAUGUAGAAAGAGCAGCACAG